UACGUAGGGUCCGAGCGUUGUUCGGAAUCACUGGGCGUAAAGAGCUCGUAGGCGGUUUGUCGCGUCUGCUGUGAAAACUCCAGGCUCAACCUGGGGCUUGCAGUGGGUACGGGCAGACUAGAGUGCGGUAGGGUGAGUGGAAUUCCGAGUGUAGAGGUGAAAUUCGUAGAUAUCGGGAGGAACACCAGAGGCGAAAGCGGCGCACUGGACAGCAACUGACACUCAACUGCGAAAGCGUGGGGAGCAAACAGG
rnacentral:rRNA from 1 species